rnacentral:rRNA from 1 species
UACGUAGGGGGCGAGCGUUGUCCGGAAUCAUUGGGCGUAAAGCGCGUGUAGGCGGUUCGGUAAGUCUGCUGUGAAAGUCCAGGGCUCAACCCUGGGAUGCCGGUGGAUACUGCUGAACUAGAGUGCGGAAGAGGCGAGUGGAAUUCCCGGUGUAGCGGUGAAAUGCGCAGAUAUCGGGAGGAACACCAAUUGCGAAGGCAGCUCGCUGGGACGUAACUGACGCUGAGACGCGAAAGCGUGGGGAGCAAACAGG